AUUGAACGCUGGCGGCAGGCCUAACACAUGCAAGUCGAGCGAGCGGCGGACGGGUGAGUAAGGUAUGGGGACCUGCCCGACCGAGGGGGAUAACUAGUGGAAACGGUGGCUAAUACUGCACACUACCGGUUGAACCCUUAUGGGAGUAGCUAGUAGGUGGGGUAAAGGCUCACUUAGGCGACGAUCGCUAGCUGGUCUGAGAGGAUGAUCAGCCAAACUGGGACUGAGACACGGCCCAGACUCCUACGGGAGGCAGCAGUGGGGAAUAUUGCGCAAUGGGCGCAAGUCUGAUGCAGCCAUGCCGCGUGUGUGAAGAAGGCUUUAGGAUUGUAAAGUACUUUCAGCAGAGAAGCGUUACCCGCAAAGAAAGCCCCGGCUAACUCCGUGCCAGCCGCCGCGGUAAUAC
rnacentral:rRNA from 1 species